UACGUAGGGUGCAAGCGUUAAUCGGAAUUACUGGGCGUAAAGCGUGCGCAGGCGGUUAUGUAAGACAGGGGUGAAAUCCCCGGGCUCAACCUGGGAACUGCAUUUGUGACUGCAAGGCUAGAGUACGGUAGAGGGGGAUGGAAUUCCGCGUGUAGCAGUGAAAUGCGUAGAUAUGCGGAGGAACACCGAUGGCGAAGGCAAUCCCCUGGACCUGUACUGACGCUCAUGCACGAAAGCGUGGGGAGCAAACAGG
rnacentral:rRNA from 1 species